rnacentral:rRNA from 1 species
GACGAACGCUGGCGGCGUGCUUAACACAUGCAAGUCGAACGGAAAGGUCCGGCGCUUGUGGCGUGCUCGAUUGGCGAACGGGUGAGUAACACGUGAGUAACCUGCCCUUGUCUUUGUGAGAACUUCAGGGAACUGGGGCUAAUACCGCAUAGGAUCUCCUGCAGCAUGUUGUGGGUUGGAGAGUUUCGGCGGUGGUGGAUGGACUCGCGGCUUAUCCGCUUGUUGGUGGAGUAGUGGCUGACCAAGGCUAUGACGGGUAGCCGGCCUGAGAGGGUGAACGGCCACAUGGGGACUGCGGUACGGACCAGACUCCUAUGGGACGCAGCAGUGGGGAAUCUUGCACAAUGAGCGGAAGCCUGAUGCAGCGACGCCGCGUGCGUGAUGACGGCCUUCGGGUUGUAAACAAAUUUCGCCUGUGCCGAAGAGUGAGUGACGGUACUGGGUAAAGAAGCACCGGCUAACUACGUG